GAUGAAGAACGCAGCGAAAUGCGAUAAGUAAUGUGAAUUGCAGAAUUCAGUGAAUCAUCGAAUCUUUGAACGCACAUUGCGCCCGCCAGUAUUCUGGCGGACAUGCCUGUUCGAGCGUCAUUACAACCCUCAGGCCCCCGGGCCUGGCGUUGGGGAUCGGCGGAAGCCCCCUGCGGGCACAACGCCGUCCCCCAAAUACAGUGGCGGUCCCGCCGCAGCUUCCAUUGCGUAGUAGCUAACACCUCGCAACUGGAGAGCGCCGCGGCCACGCCGUAAAACACCCAACUUCUGAAUGUUGACCUCGAAUCAGGUAGGAAUACCCGCUGAACUUAAGCAUAUCAAUAAGCGGAGGA
rnacentral:misc_RNA from 1 species